rnacentral:rRNA from 1 species
UACGUAGGGUGCAAGCGUUAAUCGGAAUUACUGGGCGUAAAGCGUGCGCAGGCGGUUUUGUAAGUCUGAUGUGAAAUCCCCGGGCUCAACCUGGGAAUUGCAUUGGAGACUGCAAGGCUAGAAUCUGGCAGAGGGGGGUAGAAUGCCACGUGUAGCAGUGAAAUGCGUAGAGAUGUGGAGGAACACCGAUGGCGAAGGCAGCCCCCUGGGUCAAGAUUGACGCUCAUGCACGAAAGCGUGGGGAGCAAACAGG